rnacentral:rRNA from 1 species
AGCGAACGCUGGCGGCAGGCUUAACACAUGCAAGUCGAGCGGGCCUUUCGGGGUCAGCGGCGGACGGGUGAGUAACGCGUGGGAACGUGCCCUCUGGUUCGGAAUAACUCAGGGAAACUUGAGCUAAUACCGGAUACGCCCUUUUGGGGAAAGGCUUGCUGCCGGAGGAUCGGCCCGCGUCUGAUUAGCUAGUUGGUGAGGUAACGGCUCACCAAGGCGACGAUCAGUAGCUGGUCUGAGAGGAUGAUCAGCCACACUGGGACUGAGACACGGCCCAGACUCCUACGGGAGGCAGCAGUGGGGAAUAUUGGACAAUGGGCGCAAGCCUGAUACAGCCAUGCCGCGUGAGUGAUGAAGGCCUUAGGGUUGUAAAGCUCUUUUAUCCGGGACGAUAAUGACGGUACCGGAGGAAUAAGCCCCGGCUAACUUCGUG